AUUGAACGCUGUCGGCAUGCUUUACACAUGCAAGUCGAACGGUAACAGGUUAAGCUGACGAGUGGCGAACGGGUGAGUAAUGCAUCGGAACGUGCCCAAUCGUGGGGGAUAACGCAGCGAAAGCUGCGCUAAUACCGCAUACGAUCUGAGGAUGAAAGCGGGGGACCGUAAGGCCUCGCGCGAUCGGAGCGGCCGAUGUCAGAUUAGGUAGUUGGUGGGGUAAAGGCCCACCAAGCCGACGAUCUGUAGCUGGUCUGAGAGGACGACCAGCCACACUGGGACUGAGACACGGCCCAGACUCCUACGGGAGGCAGCAGUGGGGAAUUUUGGACAAUGGGCGAAAGCCUGAUCCAGCAAUGCCGCGUGCAGGAAGAAGGCCUUCGGGUUGUAAACUGCUUUUGUACGGAGCGAAAAGGCCCUUUCUAAUACAAGGGGCUCAUGACGGUACCGUAAGAAUAAGCACCGGCUAACUUCGUGCCAGCCGCCGCAGUAACAC
rnacentral:rRNA from 1 species